rnacentral:rRNA from 1 species
UACGUAGGGGGCAAGCGUUAUCCGGAUUUACUGGGUGUAAAGGGAGCGUAGACGGCGAUGCAAGCCAGAUGUGAAAGCCCGGGGCUCAACCCCGGGACUGCAUUUGGAACUGUGUGGCUGGAGUGCCGGAGAGGCAGGCGGAAUUCCUAGUGUAGCGGUGAAAUGCGUAGAUAUUAGGAGGAACACCAGUGGCGAAGGCGGCCUGCUGGACGAUGACUGACGUUGAGGCUCGAAAGCGUGGGGAGCAAACAGG